AUAUAUAUAGUCUUUUUCUUUAUUUUAUUUUAUUUUUCUUCUACACAUUUUUAGAUACGUAAGCAUAUAUAUAGAGAUACUAGCUGUGUCCUGCCAUGCGUUGCUGUGGCCCAUUGGAAUUGCACUGAAUAGCUCCGUUUUUUGGGAGUUUUUUAGGCCCUGUGGAGGUUCGUGACGUGAUAUUUUGUGGUUUGAACCUCGAGGCGUGGAUGAUGGAUUGUGUUGUGGAAUUUCGAGGUUGGGGGGUGUUUAGUUUUGUUGUUUUGCUCGGUGCCAGGAUUCCAUCACUCUUUUAUAUAUAUAUAGAUAUAUUUGUCUUUUUUUCUAUACAUACUUUAUCUUCUUUCCUUUUUCCUACUUUUCUAUAACACAUAAUGUUCCCCCACUUUUUCUGUAUUCAAAAAAUCUUCUUCUUUCAAUAAAAAUUAUUUUAAAAAAAUCAUCUACUCCGAAUGUGCAAAACAUCAUUUAGGGCACUCACCCAUAUUUUUAGGACCCCUAGACAAUUUUUGAAAUACUUUCUGUCUUCAUCUGGAUCUAAAAUGAGCAAAACAUCUUUACAUCUCCAUAGGGUAUUUGGGCUUCCAAACACUUGAGGAUAUUCUAGAACCCACAAAAAUUACCUACUCUAAACAAAGAACAUCUAGAAUACCCUCCGCUCACGCUACCUGUGGAAUUGGUUGGUUAAUAGUCCCCAAAGUGUCCUUCUCAAGCUCUGUUGAGGAUGGCCUUUGUGGUCUCUUCCAACUCUAUGAUUCUAUGUUGAUCUAUGCAUUUGCCUGGAUAUUUUAUUAAACAUGAAUGCAAAAGCUGUUUACAAUAAUCAAAACAACCCAAUGAAUGCCACCAACAGCACAAAGCAAUUGGGUGUAGGCCAAUAUCCUCCUCCUCCACCAUCCUACAAGCAAAAGUAAUGCAACCGUUGCGAUUUCUUGCAUUCCACAUCCUUUAAGAAUGCAAAGUAAUUCAAAUAAUCAUUUGCUCAAGGUUUGAGGCUCGUGACUUCCAUGGGGCUCUGAAAGGACCCAGACAUUUCCAUAUGUAUGGUCUCCGGAGGGUGGGGUCUGUUAGGGCCAAAUGUCGAUAAAUUAUAGACAUGGACAUGACAAAUUAGAGACUUAAGUGGACUAAAGAUAAUGACCCCCCUGACAUGAUUAAAUCUACAUCUUCUUAAAGCCAGUCCCUUAUAAAAGAGGUUUCCCUUCACAGAUCAUCAUUCGCCUUGGCUACUUGACUCUCCUUGUGGUUCAACAGACACUGCUCCAUCUCCAGAAAGAUGUCCAGCAAAGACCAGCAGAAGAAGCAGCAGAGUCAGAAGCCUCCUGAGGAGCAGAAGGCUUCAAAAAAUGAAUGCCCGGAAAAAUCCCCCAAAACACAAAAAAAGCAGGAAAAAGAAGAGCCUACCAAGAAGAAGCAGAAUUGAAAUUCUACCAAGAUCUCCACCAAGAGUUCCAUCAACUGAUCGGCACCAUGAGCAAUGCCCUUGGCUUGUGGUUCUUUCGAGGGCAUGCCUCCAGAUUUCUUAGAUCCAGUUCCUUUUCUUUCUAUUGAUCUGUUGACCUGCUUCAUCUUGCUUCUGGGAUCUGAGAAGUUUCUCCAAACAGACCAGGAGAACCUGCAUCCAGAGAAGCUCGGCCAUAUGCUGUGAGGACUUUCCAUCACUUCCACUCAUGGGACACAUGUUUAGCUCCUUACAAGGAACAUUCUCUGCUCUAGUUAUCAUUCGACAAUGUCCAUAUGGGUAAAUUGUCUCACAGAGAUGUUCUACUCACGGCUUGUGGUCAGGUUGUAUCUUGGCAAAACCCUGAAGCUUUAAUGACGUCAACUUGCUUAGUUUCUUAUGCUUUCUUGUAAUAAACCAUUACAAUUCAUCAUA